CAACUAGUCCCUCUGUCCCAAAUUUCUUGUCUUAGAUUUGUCUAGAUACGGAUGUAUCAAGUCACAUUUUAGUAUUAGAUACAUCCGUAUCUAGACAAAUCUAAGACAAUAAUUUUGGGACGGAGGGAGUAUUUU
rfam:Triticum aestivum genome assembly, contig: Triticum_aestivum_CS42_TGACv1_scaffold_134572_2BL